UGCAGUCGAGCGGUAGAGAGGUGCUUGCACCUCUUGAGAGCGGCGGACGGGUGAGUAAAGCCUAGGAAUCUGCCUGGUAGUGGGGGAUAACGCUCGGAAACGGACGCUAAUACCGCAUACGUCCUACGGGAGAAAGCAGGGGACCUUCGGGCCUUGCGCUAUCAGAUGAGCCUAGGUCGGAUUAGCUAGUUGGUGAGGUAAUGGCUCACCAAGGCGACGAUCCGUAACUGGUCUGAGAGGAUGAUCAGUCACACUGGAACUGAGACACGGUCCAGACUCCUACGGGAGGCAGCAGUGGGGAAUAUUGGACAAUGGGCGAAAGCCUGAUCCAGCCAUGCCGCGUGUGUGAAGAAGGUCUUCGGAUUGUAAAGCACUUUAAGUUGGGAGGAAGGGCAUUAACCUAAUACGUUAGUGUUUUGACGUUACCGACAGAAUAAGCACCGGCUAACUCUGUGCCAGCAGCCGCGGUAAUACACAGGGUGCGAGCGUUAAUCGGAAUUACUGGGCGUAAAGCGCGCGUAGGUGGUUCGUUAACUUGGAUGUGA
rnacentral:rRNA from 1 species